rnacentral:lncRNA from 1 species
AGAGAAGUCUAUUCACACAGGCUGUGUGAACAGCAUUUCCCCUGGGGUCGUGCAGUGCUCAGUCCAAGAGCUUGAUACAGAGGUGAUGAACUUUUAUCUUCCCUAACAGGAACUUCAUCACAACUACCAUAUCCUUAGAGUUAUUCACUCUGAUUUUAUUGGCUAGAAGUCAAAUAGUCCUGUGUACAGCACAGAGCUUUGCAUAUGACAACAAAGGAAGUUGUUUUAAAUUCCUUUUAAAUGUCCUUUUACAAUCAGCUUCCCCGAUUUUCUGUCUUCCAGCACUUGAGUUAAUCAAAGUGCCAGAUGUCUACAUUUCGAUGAAGACUAUAUCCCAUCCACCCUAAAGAAGAUUCAAAAAUGUAUAAUAAGUUGUUCCAGAACCAAAAGACACAGUAGUUCCAUCAGCCAUCCCCUGAAGCCAGGCAAUUACGAUGCUAAAUUGAGCAGUAUUUCCUUCCCCGAAUGAGUGAUCAGCGGCAUUGACAUAAUUCAGUAUUGUGACUCACUUAUGUAAAAUACCUUUGAUCACCAAGGAUAACAUAAUAAUUGUUUUAGCAGCUUGCCUGUCACACAUUACAUUCUUUUAAAAAAGGAAAUAAAUGAAUACCUGUCAGCCCCCAAAGGAAAAAGUGGAAAAUAUCCAUUCAUUGAAAUACUGAAAACUUUGACACAUUUAGAAUUUUUAAAACAUUACAAGGUUCAUUAACUAAUGUCUAUGUGGGCUGAAUUAUCCAAAAGAGGAUAAUAAAAUGAAAUCCUUAAAAAAAAGGGAUGGAUAUUUGGACACUCUCAUUAGUUUGCACUAAUUUAUAAUGAAA